rnacentral:lncRNA from 1 species
UUUCCUUGUGCACAUACACUCAUUUACUUGCGUUUGUUAUUUGGUUUUGAUUUAAUCAUUUCAUUAUCUCAUAUUCCCAUUCAACUAAAUGUACCCCCACUACCAUGAAGUGUAAUAAUUUUAUCACUUUAUUUUCUUGAUUGCUUUGUUUAGUUAGUCUCUAACACAAGAAUAAAAUCAACCCCUUUUCAAAAAGAAUAAAAAUAAAAACUUGAUCCAACAUCGAGUAUUUUCUCAAAGACAUCUCCACACCACUUC